rnacentral:tRNA from 1 species
GCCUGAGUGGCUCAGUCGGUUAAGCAUCCGACUUCAACUCAGGUCAUGAUCUCACAGUUUGUGAGUUCGAGCCCCACGUCGGGCU